CUUCUGCCCAGCAGCCAGCCCAGCUGUGUGUGUGUCUGUCAGUGAAUGUGUGUGUGUGUAUAAAUCUUAUAGUGUCUGUUACUGAAUGUUUGUGUGACUGUGGUUGUCUGUCGUUAUGUGUCUGUGAGUGAGUGUGUAUAUCUGUCAGUGUAAGUGUGUCAGUGAAUGUGUGUCUGUCUGUCAGCGUGUGUCUGUGAGUGAGUAUCUGUCAGUAAAUGUGGGUGGGUGUCUGUCAGUGUGUGUCUGUGAGUAAGUGAUUGUGUGUAUGUCUGUCAGCGUGGAUCUGUGAG